AGUGAACGCUGGCGGUAGGCCUAACACAUGCAAGUCGAACGGCAGCACAGUAAGAUUUUGCUCUUACCGGUGGCGAGUGGCGGACGGGUGAGGAGUACAUCGGAAUCUACUUUUUCGUGGGGGAUAACGUAGGGAAACUUACGCUAAUACCGCAUACUACGUACGGGUGAAAGCAGGGGUUCUUCGCACCUUGCGCGACUGAAUUAGCCGGUGCCGGAUUAGCUAGUUGGCGGGGUAAAGGCCCACCAAGGCGACGAUCCGUAGCUGGUCUGAGAGGAGGAUCGGCCACACUGGAACUGAGACACGGUCCAGACUCCUACGGGAGGCAGCAGUGGGGAAUAUUGGGCAAUGGGCGCAAGCCUGAUCCAGCCAGACCGCGUGGGUGAAGAAGGCCUUCGGGUUGUAAAGCCCUUUUGUUGGGGAAGAAAAGCAGUAGGUUUAUACCCCGCUGUUCUGACGGUACCCAAAGAAAAAGCACCGGCUAACUACGUG
rnacentral:rRNA from 1 species